UAGUGAGGGUGCAAGCGUUAUCCGGAUUUACUGGGUUUAAAGGGUGUGUAGGCGGGCUUUUAAGUCAGUGGUGAAAUCUCCGGGCUCAACCCGGAAACUGCCAUUGAUACUAUUAGUCUUGAAUAUUGUUGAGGUAGGCGGAAUAAGUCAUGUAGCGGUGAAAUGCAUAGAUAUGACUUAGAACACCGAUUGCGAAGGCAGCUUACUAAACAAUUAUUGACGCUGAGGCACGAAAGCGUGGGGAUCAAACAGG
rnacentral:rRNA from 1 species